ACGGGAGGCAGCAGUGGGGGAUAUUGCACAAUGGAGGAAACUCUGAUGCAGCAACGCCGCGUGAGGGAAGAAGGUCUUCGGAUUGUAAACCUCUGUUUUUGGUGAAGAAUAACUGACGGUAGCCAAAGAGGAAGCCACGGCUAACUACGUGCCAGCAGCCGCGGUAAUACGUAGGUGGCAAGCGUUGUCCGGAUUUACUGGGUGUAAAGGGUGCGCAGGCGGGACUGCAAGUUGGAUGUGAAAUACCGAGGCUCAACCUCGGAGCUGCAUCCAAAACUGUAGUUCUUGAGUGGAGUAGAGGUAAGCGGAAUUCCGAGUGUAGCGGUGAAAUGCGUAGAUAUUCGGAGGAACACCAGUGGCGAAGGCGGCUUACUGGGCUCUAACUGACGCUGAGGCACGAAAGUGUGGGUAGCAAACAGGAUUAGAUACCCUGGUA
rnacentral:rRNA from 1 species